GCAUAUCAAUAAGCGGAGGAAAAGAAACCAACAGGGAUUGCCCUAGUAACGGCGAGUGAAGCGGCAACAGCUCAAAUUUGAAAUCUGGCUCUUUUAGAGUCCGAGUUGUAAUUUGCAGAGGGCGCUUUGGCUUUGGCAGCGGUCCAAGUUCCUUGGAACAGGACGUCACAGAGGGUGAGAAUCCCGUACGUGGUCGCUGGCUAUUGCCGUGUAAAGCCCCUUCGACGAGUCGAGUUGUUUGGGAAUGCAGCUCUAAAUGGGAGGUACAUUUCUUCUAAAGCUAAAUAUUGGCCAGAGACCGAUAGCGCACAAGUAGAGUGAUCGAAAGAUGAAAAGCACUUUGGAAAGAGAGUCAAACAGCACGUGAAAUUGUUGAAAGGGAAGCGCUUGCAGCCAGACUUGCUUGCAGUUGCUCAUCCGGGCUUUUUGCCCGGUGCACUCUUCUGUAGGCAGGCCAGCAUCAGUUUGGGCGGUAGGAUAAAGGUCUCUGUCACGUACCUCCUUUCGGGGAGGCCUUAUAGGGGAGGCGACAUACUACCAGCCUGGACUGAGGUCCGCGCAUCUGCUAGGAUGCUGGCGUAAUGGCUGUAAGCGGCCCGUCUUGAAACACGGACCAAGGAGUCUAACAUCUAUGCGAGUGUUUGGGUGUCAAGCCCGAGCGCGUAAUGAAAGUGAACGGAGGUGGGAACCCGCAAGGGUGCACCAUCGACCGAUCCUGAUGUCUUCGGAAGGAUUUGAGUAAGAGCAUGGCUGUUGGGACCCGAAAGAUGGUGAACUAUGCUUGAAUAGGGUGAAGCCAGAGGAAACUCUGGUGGAGGCUCGCAGCGGUUCUGACGUGCAAAUCGAUCGUCAAAUUUGGGCAUAGGGGCGAAAGACUAAUCGAACUAUCUAGUAGCUGGUUCCUGCC
rnacentral:rRNA from 1 species